AUCCCCUUUCUCUCUCAUCUCUACUUCUCCCCUUAUCCGAUUCAAACCCUAAAUGUGCUGACAUCGAAAUUUCUCUUCCCAACGUUACGAGAAAGAUACUUUAUGUAAGGUAAGGGUUUCUUCGAUUCUUCUGGAGAUGAACUCAAGGCGUGGGAUGCUGAGUUUGUCAAGAGGUAGAGAGGUAGUGUAAAGGUGAGAUUGAUAAACGUUUGUUCAAUAUUAUGUUCAUUUCAUUUGACAUAGCUUUCACUUCUAAGUUGUUAUAAAACUUUUGUUCAAUGUUGAUUUUAAUGGCUUGUGUUUUGUUUUCUCGGUUACGGUGGUUACAUACAAUACAUUUACUCCGAUGGUGAUUUCGCCUUUUUGUCUUAGUGUUGAUGUUGUUGUUCAUAGUAUCUCCUGAAAUAAAAUCAAUAUACAACAAAAAAUUUAUAUAAAGGUAAUUUUGUUGCUAUAUUUUGAAAUUUCCUUUAUUACGUUUAUAAUCGAAUUCGGUAUGUUAGUUAGUGACGCACAUGUGUUUGUAUCCCUGCAGCAUCUUCAAGAGCCUGACUCAUAUGUUGGUGAAGUUGUCAAAGUUAUCGGCAAGAACAUAAUGUUGGUCAAGGGUCUGUUGUGAUAUUGCUGCAAUCUAUAUCGAAGAUCAAUCUACAGGGUGAUGAGGUGGAUUAUAUAGGUACACUCCACCAAUAUUUAUGUUCUAAGGUUUGAAAAUAUGUUCUGAUAGCCAAUAUCUAAUGAUGUUUUUCAGCAAUCAAUCCUAUUAUGAUGAUGUUCUUUUGCGAUCAAUCCUUUCUGAUGUUAUCAUAUUCUUUGGAUUGUGCUGUACUUCUGAUUUUGCAUGGGAGACUUCUAACUUGGUACUUGAUAGGGGUUCAUUUUUGGGGGGGGAUGAUUUUACUAAUUGAAAAGAACAUUUCUCUUAAAUUACUGUGUAAUAGGUGUGCCUUAAAUUACUGAUAAACAAAGUAACCUCUUUUCUUGGUCUUAAGUGAGAUUUGCAAAAUUUAUCUUUAGUGUUUCUGACAAAUAACUUCCAUACACCUUAUGCUGUUUACACCAGGGUUUGACCACUACUAAAUUUUGUUGAAAUUGCAGCAUGAGAUGCUGGCUUGGCAUAUGUUAGAGGCUUGUAGUUUCAGGUAUUUUCAAUUUUAUUUCAUAAGCUGUUAGAGGUUCUUUGACGUCACAUAGGUGUUGUCAAAUUAGAAGUUUAAUUUAACUUCGACUUUAAGGUUAAUAGAAUUGGCAACAGUGUUUGUGGUGUCAUUCUGUAAGUUAUAAGGUUCUUUUAUGUGGUUAGUUUGGAUGCAUUGCAGGAAGAUUAUCUUUAGGAAGAGCAACAUAUUGUCAAAGAAAAUACUGAGAAUAUGAUAUUCUUAACAUGGUAGAUGUAAUAUUUUCUCUACCUAUGGUAGUGACUGUAUGGCUAGAUUUAUUCUUAUAAGACAUGAAAAUAAUGUGAUUAUACAAUUACCCUUAGUGAGUGUCUUUACACUUAUAAUGAACCUAAAUCAAACGAUAGUCAUUUUAAGAUUUGUUUAUUUUAUGAAAAUAUUUAUGUUGUAUUUUUAUCGGAACGCUGUUGUUCCCUCUAUGCUCUACAUUCGUAGUAACAUCGUUCAAUGAUCAUCAUAAGCCUAUUGUGAUUUCACUCCCCAAAACCUCCUUGCAGCAUUAGUGAUUACCCACCAUCUUGAGUUUGUUGUAAUUUCAGUUAUAAACCCCAAUUCUUCAAAUUAUUAUCACCUUCAAGUGUCCACUCGAGGAGCAUGUGAGAAACUGAUUUUUAAGCAGAAUUGAGGUUGUUGAGUGUGAUGAGAAACCGAUUUCUAAGAAGCAUUGAGGUUGUUGAGUGUGGAAAAGAAAAGGUAAACUGAUGGUUUACUGAUGGUUUAGUAAUUAUGGGUGGUAGGCAUAUCAUAAAUAUGAAAGGGUUAUCGGAGCACUUAUUGAAAUAAAUAUUUAUAAAAAAGGCUUGAAUAAGUUGCAAAGUAUGAUAUGUGAAAAGCUUGAAUAAGUUGCAAAGUAUUGAAAUAAAUGUACUAUACCUUUCAAUUUUUUAAUCUUAAACUGAAAGAGCUUCAUUAAGUUUCUUAAUGGAUUAUUUCCAUUGUAUGAAUGAACGAUAUUUUUUUCACAUUUGGUUAUUCUUAUUGAGAAUGAAGCAGAUUGCUAUUGGAGCUUUGACCGUGCGAGGCGGAGGCGGAGAAUGUUUAUAUCAUGCAGGAGAAUUUCCUGUUCUGUUCAAAUGCACAUUUUCCUGUUCCUUCUGUCCCUAUGGCGCAGUAACUAUAGCUGAUGCAUCCGAAAAAUCAUUUUGCGAGUAACCGUCAAACAGUUGGGAAGGAGACGACGAUAAUUCGGAUCACUGACAUUCAAAAACAAAGGCUUCCCGGGAUUUGACUUAUCUCAUAAAUUCAAGAGUGAAUUCCUCGCCCGUCUGUAUCGAGAAAUGAUGUACAGGUUUAACUUCUUAUGCAUUGAGAUUGUACGGUCUUCUACUCGGAUAAAUUUCAUUCAUCUGGUCCUGCAUUACUGACUGUGAUCCAGGCUGGUAUUCAUUUCUAAGAUCCAUUCUUGCCUAUAAUACGUUUUCUAGAGUCUCUAUUGUUGAAUCACACCAUCAUUUUUCUUACAAGAAGAAUUCAUUGAAUGUUUAAGCCAAAAACAAGUUCUAAGCUUUUAGUAACAGACCAGUAAAACUAUAUAGAAACUUGAAGCAGCAUUGGCAAUCUUGGAAACUCUCAAGAACUGUUGAACCUAUAAAGAACUUAGCUGUAAACAGAAAGAAAUCAAGACAACUUUUAGUAACAAAUUAACAUGCAAUAAUAUUUUACAUAAAUGGAAACCGAUAUGCUUGCUAUUUAUAAAUGCGAAAACAAUACAUGUAAGCCACAUUCAGAUUCAAUAUAAAAGUUUACAAAAUGAUAGCACAUUAUUUUA